GAUCCUGGCUCAGAUUGAACGCUGGCGGCAUGCCUUACACAUGCAAGUCGAACGGUAACAGGGAGCUUGUUCCGCUGACGAGUGGCGAACGGGUGAGUAAUAUAUCGGAACGUACCAUUCAGUGGGGGAUAACGUAGCGAAAGUUACGCUAAUACCGCAUAUUCUGUGAGCAGGAAAGCAGGGGAUCGCAAGACCUUGCGCUGAUUGAGCGGCCGAUAUCAGAUUAGCUUGUUGGUGAGGUAAAAGCUCACCAAGGCGACGACCUGUAGCGGGUCUGAGAGGAUGAUCCGCCACACUGGAACUGAGACACGGUCCAGACUCCUACGGGAGGCAGCAGUGGGGAAUUUUGGACAAUGGGGGCAACCCUGAUCCAGCCAUGCCGCGUGAGUGAAGAAGGCCUUCGGGUUGUAAAGCUCUUUCAGCCGGGAAGAAAACGCAUGGGUUAAUACCCUGUGUGGAUGACGGUACCGGAAUAAGAAGCACCGGCUAACUACGUGCCAGCAGCCGCGGUAAUACGUAGGGUGCGAGCGUUAAUCGGAAUUACUGGGCGUAAAGCGUGCGCAGGCGGUUUUGUAAGACAGGCGUGAAAUCCCCGGGCUUAACCUGGGAACUGCGUUUGUGACUGCAAGGCUAGAGUACGGCAGAGGGGGGUGGAAUUCCACGUGUAGCAGUGAAAUGCGUAGAGAUGUGGAGGAACACCAAUGGCGAAGGCAGCCCCCUGGGUCGAUACUGACGCUCAUGCACGAAAGCGUGGGUAGCAAACAGGAUUAGAUACCCUGGUAGUCCACGCCCUAAACGAUGUCAACUAGGUGUUGGGAGGGUAAAACCUUUUAGUACCGGAGCUAACGCGUGAAGUUGACCGCCUGGGGAGUACGGCCGCAAGGUUAAAACUCAAAGGAAUUGACGGGGACCCGCACAAGCGGUGGAUGAUGUGGAUUAAUUCGAUGCAACGCGAAAAACCUUACCUACCCUUGACAUGCCAAGAACUUUCCAGAGAUGGAUUGGUGCCCGAAAGGGAACUUGGACACAGGUGCUGCAUGGCUGUCGUCAGCUCGUGUCGUGAGAUGUUGGGUUAAGUCCCGCAACGAGCGCAACCCUUGUCGUUAAUUGCCAUCAUUUAGUUGGGCACUUUAACGAGACUGCCGGUGACAAACCGGAGGAAGGUGGGGAUGACGUCAAGUCCUCAUGGCCCUUAUGGGUA
rnacentral:rRNA from 1 species